rnacentral:misc_RNA from 1 species
UACGUAGGUGGCAAGCGUUGUCCGGAAUUAUUGGGCGUAAAGCGCGCGCAGGCGGUUUCUUAAGUCUGAUGUGAAAGCCCGUGGCUCAACCACGGAGGGUCAUUGGAAACUGGGAAACUUGAGUGCAGAAGAGGAGAGUGGAAUUCCACGUGCAGCGGUGAAAUGCGUAGAUAUGUGGAGGAACACCAGUGGCGAAGGCGACUCUCUGGUCUGUAACUGACGCUGAGGCGCGAAAGCGUGGGGAGCGAACAGG